rnacentral:piRNA from 1 species
UGGAAAAUGGAAAGAUUGAUAAGUGGCUA